GUGCACGCUGGCGGUAGGCCUAACACAUGCAAGUCGAACGGCAGCACAGUAAGAGCUUGCUCUUACGGGUGGCGAGUGGCGGACGGGUGAGGAAUACAUCGGAAUCUACUUUUUCGUGGGGGAUAACGUAGGGAAACUUACGCUAAUACCGCAUACGACCUACGGGUGAAAGCAGGGGAUCUUCGGACCUUGCGCGAUUGAAUGAGCCGAUGUCGGAUUAGCUAGUUGGCGGGGUAAAGGCCCACCAAGGUGACGAUCCGUAGCUGGUCUGAGAGGAUGAUCAGCCACACUGGAACUGAGACACGGUCCAGACUCCUACGGGAGGCAGCAGUGGGGAAUAUUGGACAAUGGGCGCAAGCCUGAUCCAGCCAUACCGCGUGGGUGAAGAAGGCCUUCGGGUUGUAAAGCCCUUUUGUUGGGAAAGAAAAGCAGCAGGUUAAUACCCCGCUGUUCUGACGGUACCCAAAGAAUAAGCACCGGCUAACUUCGUG
rnacentral:rRNA from 1 species